CCAAGGUUGUGCCUUGGGGUCUGCGGCCAGGCGGGCUUAGCCUCUUUUUAAAAAAAAAAAAAAGAAAGAAAAAGUGGUCUGUCAAUUUGUGAACAAACCGAACAAUAGAAUCAAAAUGAGUUUGGGAUCAAAGCGGAAGGCUCGGGACUGACCUAAAAUGGUUAGCACCCGGGCAGCUUUGGUGGCCACUCGGGACUCUAGGGGCCAGGAGUACAGAAGCCUCCUCAUGCCUGCCUCUCUAGACAAUUGUGCCCCCAUUCCCCUCUCUAAAAAGGCAAAAACUAAGACUAAAAAUGUUGGCCCAGCAGUUUCUGUGCUUACAAGGACCCGGAAGUUGUCAACUUUCCUAUAGGCUAAAAGGGAUCGGUACCACGUUUUUUCCCCUCAAGUACGAGAGAAUUGGACCAGGCAGCCUGGAACCCACCUGGUCCAAUGUAAUGUGUAUUUCAGGCUGCGGACAAUCGGUGCUGCCGGACUUGAAGCUCCAAUUCCACAUUGCAAGAGAUGCAAAAACUUUCAAUUGCACAAUGGCUAUGAAAACCAGAGAGGAUUCCAGCACACCAACAGCACUGGAAUCUGCCUUUUGAGAGGCCUCGUCCUGUGUCACCAGACACCCUAGGCCCCUCUUCCGUAACCAGAGAGCUGUGGUGUAAGGAGAAACCUGGAACUGAAUGAGAAUCUGGAACCCAGAAAGGAUUUUCUCCAAAUUAGGCCCUCCUCGUUUGCCCAGUGGCUGUGAAACACAGAACCAGCUCCAGCAUCCCUCAUUCCAAGCAGAGACUGCACAUUCCCAGGGAAGAAGACUGAACAAGGACACACAGAUUGGAGAGCAGGGAGAAUGUUCUCUCCUUUUACUAAGGCGCAUAGUGUGUUGGGAUACAUGGACUAGACCCAAGAGCAAGAGAGCAACCUAUUAUAAUCCAAAGAGUGAGCUGCAAAAUGUGGCACAGAGAUAUGGAGCGGUGGCUGAAGGAGAGGGAAGCGCCUGCAGGGCGAACCUCAGCCCCUUGGGCAGAUGCAUUUUCCAGUCUCCUUUGAAUGUCAGAACAAACAGCUCUAAGAUAAUUUCCUGCGUUUGCUCCUUCCUCCUUCCCUCCCCCCCCACCAAGGGCCAGAUCAUGUCUUUCAGGCCCAAGGGAUCUCAAGAAGGGCUUUUGUCAGGUUCUAUCCUAGCAAUAGAGGGGAAUGACCCAAGCCCUGAGUUAUGCCCCUGCACACGUUUCCCACAAAGGCAAAACAGCAGAUAUCCAGCAGGGCUCUCUGGAGUGAGACCCGGAGCUAGGAGUUUAAGCAAAAGGGCAACUCUGUCAGUUGACGGAAGCCAGAAGCAAAGUUCAAAGCCUGGCCUGGAUUUCCAUCUGGAGUGGUCUGUUCCUUAAAAGUUUGCAACUCGGUGCAAAGAAGCAGCCCCAGUGGAGGCUUCAGGAUCAAUGUGAAAGUCUAGCACUACCAUCUGACAGAGAGCUGGAAAACUUUGGGCUGCAUAUUAAGAGAGGAAAGUGGAUUGAAGUGAGAGUCAAGGCAAUUCAUUAUGUUUCCAGCUUCUAAGUGGGAGUGGCAAAAUGCGAACUGGAGUAGUAGAGGAGAAAGUGGAAUGGAGCCUGAAUUGUACUCCACACAUCUUCCUCAGUUACUGUGUACCUGACAAGGCCAGAAAUCCCAAAGGAGCCCGCCAGGAGGUUUAAAGCACACCCAGGGCACUACCAUCUCACAGAUUUAUGCCACAGGACUCAGAGAAGUGACACCUGGGAGCAAAGUCAAGAAACACUCUAAGAAUCCUGAAUUUUAAAAGGCCACAUUUUACUCACAAAAGGAGGGAUUGCUUCUUUGGUAUCUGGUACUAAAACAAGGUGACAAGAUUCUCCUGAAAUUACCACAAAAGGCAUUAUAGUCUAAUACUGCCUGGUAACAAAGCUGAGCCCUUGAAAACAACCUGGCAUUCAGAGCUGCUAAUGGUACUAACAUUCUCACCAACAUAUUCAUGUAUUUUCCAUAGAUACACAUACUAUACAUCCACAUAUGGGGUCCCCAGACAUCUCACUGGUAGCUUUCUGUCUAUUCUUUUAGAAAAGGCAGAGUAAACCCAUUAAUAAAAAACAUGGACUGGAGUUUUAUGAAACCA
rnacentral:lncRNA from 1 species